GCCGAAGUGGCGGAAUUGGCAGACGCGCUACAUUCAGGGUGUAGUUCCCGUCAGGGAGUGGAGGUUCGAGUCCUCUCUUCGGCACCA
rnacentral:tRNA from 2 species